CGGCGGCAGUGAGGAGGAGCGAGCAGUGCCAGCAUCCCGGAGCGGGCGUGUUUUCCUCCCAGUCCUCCGCCUCUUCUCACCCCAGUGUGAACCACAGGUCAGAGCGGUGCUGGAGACGCAGAUGGCUACAAGCUCACACGCAGCAAGGUGUUUCAGCAGCUCAGCCUAGCAGCCUCUGUCAUUUGGAAGUAUCAGAGCAGCUGGGACAGCUCUGUAACCAACUCUGGAAGGAAAAAUGGAAUUCUGAGCAAAUGCCAGCUCUCCCUGCAGAGAACAGAGCUGUGUGCUCACCCCCUACAGCUCCAGCAGGAAAUGCUCCAGGACAGACCACCCUGUGCUUAUUUCCCUCCAGGUUUGAACAGUUAGAGAUAACCAGGAUGUAUGCAGUGGCCCUUAAUUCCACAUACACGUUGGGGAUUUAACUGCGAGAAACCCUCUCUGUGUUGCUGAUAAAAAAACGUUCCAGAUGAGAUGUGCAAGUCGGAGAGCUCAGAGGAACCUGCCUGGAAUUGCUGCAGGUUGACUUAGCAAACAUCAGCGUCCCUCAAUUCUGCAUAGAGAUCUGCUGUAUUUCAUGGGGUUUAGCACCACUUCAGGAAGAAAGCCAUCCACCAGGAAAACUGCAAGCGAAGCUGCUUAGAAUAAAUCAUGUUAAGUCGUAUUAUCACCGCCAUGGCUUGGUCUGGUCAAUCAGGCUGAACUAUUUCAACUAUUUAAGGAAAACAAAACAGUACAAAACAAAACCAUCAAUUAUGAAUAUAUGGGUGUUCUGAAUUUUGUUUUUAUUUUCAUUUUAGUGCCAAGAACACAAAGCAAUCAUAUAGCAGUCUGUAACCUUAAGAACAACAAUACGAACAAUUCAGGCAUCCAAAGACACCAAAUCCUUUUUUGACCACAUGAAGUAUGCAGAAAAAGAUUCAUCAUCAUCUGUUGUCUAUGACUGUCAAAUAAAUAUGUAAAGGAUAAUAAUAAAAAGACCCUUCCUCAGUCAAGGAGCUUCACAGCUAUUUUCUUAAUCAGGAUUUUGUCCCACUCUGUAGUUGAACACGUCCCACAAAAGCCUGAAGGCCACCAACUCCAUUAAAGCAAACCAAAUGAAACAAACCAGCCAACCAAACAGCCAACUAACCAACGAUGCAAUCAAACCAGCCAACUCACCAACCGACCAAACCAGCCUACCAGUGAACCAAACAACCAACCAGACAAACCUGCCAACUAACCAACCAAACCUGCCAACUAACCAAUCAAACCAGUCAACCAAACCAGCCAACCCAUUAACUGAUCAAACCAGCCAACCAAUGAGCCAACCAACCAAACCAGCCAACCAAAACCAGCCAACCAAUCAGCCAACUAAUCAGUCAUGCAAAUGAACCACCCCAACCCACCAACCAACAAACCAGCCAACCAGCCAACAAAUCAACUAACCAGCCAACUAGCCAACCAACCAAUCAAUCAGUCAACCAACCAACCAACCAACCAGCCAGAUCAAUCAACCAACCAACCAAACAAACCAGGCAACCAACAACCAGCAGGACAAACUACCACCCAACCAGCCAUCCAACCAACCAAUCAGCCAAAGAGCAUGCUUUGUUGCCCAAGAUCAGCUCAAAUAAUGGAAUCUUAGUGUACUUCUGAUAAAAAUGGCCUCAGAUCUCCCAUGCUUUAUCCAAGGCUCAGCACAGCACAGUCCUGAUGCUCUGCUACACCAUGGAGGAUUUGCUUUUCUCCUCUUCAUCCCCUUUGAUUUCUGCAUCUAUAAUCACUCCAGCAGUCCAUGAAGUGCGAUCCAUGAUGCAGUCUUCCCUCCACAACCUUGAUGCAACCUAAACACAAGCUGAAAUAUGCUCACUUGAGGAAAUAUGGCAUGAAUCAGCCUGAAAUGUGAGCUUUCAAAUAAAAAUGCAGUAAAGCAUCUUGUGUUCUUUCUCAAGGUACGUUCACAUAAGUCAGUGACAGUGGUGAGAACCUAGGUCAUAAGGAUUCUAAUGGUCUCCCUGGCAGGAUUGGGUAUGGAACAGCCCACAGGUUACCCCAGAAGAUCCAUUUAUUUGAUAUAAAGGACCAAGGUUCGGGGACGUGGCUGCUACUGUCACCUUGCCCUGCAAUGCCAAGAGCAUGCUCCCAGGUGGGAGGUGGGAAGGGCAUCCUCAGGCUUCAAUGGACUGAGGAAAUAGAGGACAGAAUGAUGUGUUUGUGUUCACUGCCAUCCAUCCCACCUUCCCUCACAGAUCCUUUGCCCUGCAGAUGCCAGAUGGAGCUGGAACAUUGAAAGCAAUUUUGCCUUUUGGCAGCCCAGGACACUUAGGAUUUCCCUUUCCCCCUUUUCACUUCUUGAACCAAGCAUUUCUGUGUUUGCAGCCUGCAUCAUGGUAUAACCUGAUUCAGCCUAAGUUGGUCUAAUUUGGCAGGAGCCCAGUCAAAAUCUGGUCUGUCCAAACAAAUUAGUGGAACAAAUUAGUAGCAAGUCAGCAAUUGCCAGCUUGUACACGUCCACAAAAUCAUGACCUUAUUGCCUUCACUGUCAUCAAAAAUUUUCAGGUGGGGCUUAGAGAAGGAAAUUAAUAUGGCAGUGCCAUAUCACCUCUUUGAUGAAAAGCACACCAACAUCAAGCUCCAUCCACACUGACACGAUCCAUCUCCUACUGGUCCCAGGCCCAACAAAAUCUGAAGACACUGAUAAAGUACAUUAAAGAAUGUUUCUGUUUUGAAUGACCUAGAAAUUAAAUCCAAAAUAUGUGGUGCAUAUAGGAGGAGCUGAGAUUUUUCUAGGCACCCCAGCAUCUAUGGAGGAAUAAAUCAAAUCACACGUUCAAAGCCAUCUGACUUAAUUCAUCAUCAGCUGUUUUAAUACUGACAUUAAAACAACAACAACAACAAAACAAAACCCCGAAUUGGUCCAGGCUUUCCGUUUGGCUAAAACCAUAAUGCAAGGGCAAUGGGAAGCUUGGAGUAACCGCUGUUAAACUCUAUCCGCCCUUCAUCUCCAAUGUAAAACUGAUGCUCGGUAGUCAACAAGAGAAAACUAUUUUUCCAUAACCAGUUCAUUUUGUUUGGCUUAAGCUAAAAUCCGAGGGCUGCCUUUUCAUUUACAGGCACGCUUUGUAUCUAGGUUAAGGACUUUAAAGUAUGCUAAGGAUAGGCUUUUGUUCUCCACCUCCUUGCUGUUCCCUCCUGGUUACCGUGGAGGUCAGCUCCCCCAUUAGAGCCCGUGGGGUGUGACACAUGCUGCAGCGCAGAGCAAGCUGCCACCGAUGCACUCCCUCCUUCACAAAUCCCCACAGGUCACAGCUCCCAGGGGCUCUCAGACAACUUUCUGUAUAAUUCAUGAUCGCUUCCUGAGGUAAAUAAUGCAUUCUGCGCCUCUGGUUAUUGUGCUCCUUCAAAGGCCCAGUCAAAUAAAAGUUUGUUGUUUAUCUUACUUUAAGAAUGACUGUUUGCCCAUCUCCCCUGACGUACCUUUAUCUUGUUUCUGCCUCCCACAAUAGCGAGAAGUCACUGCCAGGUAACCCCUUCCAUUUCAGCCCUCUGAAAAAAAAAAUCAUGGCGUGCUGCGUUCAAUUCCAUGGGUAAAGUGCCCUGACCUCCGCUGUAUCUCUGAGAUUUACGCUGGGCUGUAUCCACUUUUUCCCCUUCAGUCACCACACACAGCAGCCAGGACUCAUUAUCUGCCAAGCAGCCUCCAUCAGAUGGAGCCCGUAGGGUUUGGGAUGGAUGCCACUGUCACCGGGUCCCCAUUUAGCUAUGUU
rnacentral:lncRNA from 1 species